GGGGCCACACCAUUCGCCAUUACAAGAUGGCGCCGAGGAGUGUGGUAAACAGCUCAUUUUGGACCAUGUCCCAGCAUAAGUCUGCCUGGCAACAGCAAGCAGCCUAUCCCAGCCUGACUAGCUUAUCUAUAGUAGAAACAUCCUGCCCUGCCAAUAUAAGCCGCUCCCUUUCCUUCUCCCUCGCCUCUCAUCUUCAACUCUCCAUUAAUCCAUCGGUACUCCAAUAAAAGUGUGAUAAGAGAAGAAUCCUCGUGUCGGUGGUCUUCUUCCCUGCCGGUCAGGGGGGCUCGCCACAGCUGGUGCCGAAAACCCGGGAAGUAGGUCCAGUGGACACGUCUGAGGGGCCCAAGAAGGAUUCAGAACUCUACACAUGGAGUGAGUAAGUCUCCCCAAGUAAGUAGUAUGUGGCUCGACUACCCUGCUGACCCUUUGAUGUUUGCUGGAUUUUUUCUCUGUGCAGUCGUGGUGAUUCUUCUGUGCUGUUUUUGGCUUCGUUGCCAUAAACCUGGCGAGGAGUGCCUUUGUUGGAUUUAAAAAAACGAAAGUAAGACCGCAAUAGAUAAAGCGGCAUUUCUCGCUGUACUGUAAGUCCCUCGUAGAUAAGUGGGCAGUGUGGGCAACAACUUGGGGGCUGGACCUGGCACCUGUGACUUUGCAGCCCUUAUACAGGGUCUGCUAAAGCAGAGAGGACUGAAGAUAUCACCGCGCACAGUAGAAACUAUAGUGAAGGAUAUUGAUAAGGCAGCGCCGUGGUUCGCUGUUUCGGGUGAUUUUAACCUCGACUGCUGGGAAAAGUUAGGAGAAGACCUUGAAAGAGCAAAACAGGAGGAUAGAAUUGGCCGAGGAUCAAUUCCUUUAUGGAAGCUGGUCCAUUCGUGCCUCAAGGACAGUAAGAACAUGGAGCUGAUUAAGCAGGGGCGCAAAGUUUUGGUUUCGCAACAGGAUAGUCUCUUGGAAGCGGAGUCAAAAGGGGAGGAAGACAGGCCUGCAAAAUACAACAGAAAUAAAAGGGAAAAGAAAAGAAAAAUAAAACAAGGGGAAAGUAAAAAGGAACCCCUAUAUCCAGUUCUGGAAGAGUUUGCAAACUUAGAAAUUUCAGAUGAUUCGGUAGUAGAAGGAUUGUCGGAGGAGGACAAGGAGGAGCUUGAAGAAACUGCUGCAGAGUAUGAGAGCGAUCGUUAUGGGCGGUAGCCAAUUUUGAACAAAGCCAGAGUAGGCGCGGGACCAGUGGCCCGUAUCGCCCUUCCGGUGGUUUAUUCGAUAUAAUUUAUUUACAUUUCAAAUGAUUUCCCUUUUUCUAGCCCCCUUCUCUUCCCCUGUCCUCCUUUUAAAAGCAGCUUUUUGCUAGCCUGCGCGGUUAUUUGGGAAAGCAAGAGCUUGCUUUAAGUAUAGCCCUCUUAAAGGAGCUCCACGGAGAGCUAGAUCACACCUGAGGAAUUUAUGCAGCCUAUUCGAGCUAAAUUCUUUAGAAGAAAAAAUUUAUUCUUUAAAAGUCAGAGACAGUUAAAACGGCCGGACAAAGAAAAUCCUGGGCUCUCCCCCCUCCUACCUCUCUCUACAAGGUCACUGUGUUUUUCUCUACAAGGUCACUGUGUUUUUCUUCCCUUCUCUGGCAGAACUCCCAGAAGAAAAGAAGAUAAGAGGUUAACUCUUAAACAAGAGAAAAAGCAGGUUUCUGAAAAGCAGUUUUUUCAUGUAUAAGACAUAGUAUUAAAAGUAUAAUAAUAAUAAUAAUAAUAAUAAUAAUAAUAAUAACGGUUAAAAGCUAACUUUAAAACUUUCCAGGAAACAGAAGAAAAUGGGAGACGUCCUAUUUUCUCUCUGAAUCCUUAUGGAGAUAUUAUUACUUCUGGUUAAGGUAUUUGUAUCUCUUUGGGACAUUAAGUUCCAUUUCUGUCUGUUGCGUAUUUUUGGUGCACCAAAAACUUGUCUAUAUGUGUGUCAAUUUAUGUUGUCUAUUGUUUGAGUGGCUGAAUGAUUGUUGUGUUUAUGUUAUGUGUUAAAAAGAAAACAUAAAAUGGUAAAAAGGGGGUGUUAUUUACUGGCAGUCCUGUCAGUCUGCAAUUUACACAGAAGAAGAUGAUUAAAGGAGCUUCACAUACUUUUUAAGAGACCAGCAGUCUCAAACUUAAUGGUUAAUUCUCUUGGGAAAAAUUUCUACUGUGGUGAUGGUUGGGUUCAAGGUGUUUUAUUCCCCUGAAAUUACAGCUGGAAAAAUAUAUAUAUUUGGUUUAAAUUAAUGAGAUUUGUGUAAUUGCUUCAUCCUUAUUUCUAAUUGGUCUUAAAGGUAUAAAUGUUUUACAUGCCUUGACUAUAGAAUAUUGAUUCAUAAGUUAUUGGACAUGAUUCAAAAGAAAAUAUAAUGGUAACAAAAGGCUAGAGUCAAGGCUUACAAGAUACAGUGUUGUUUCGCUUCAAAGAAAAGGAGAAAAUUGCUUUAUGCAUUUUGUCUACCUUUUUGCAGCCUACAGGCCUGCUAUGGCAAGAAGGUCCCUUGUUGUGGGUGCAUCCUAGAGCCUCACCAGCAAAAUCUAUUGAUCAUUACUCUACUGCAAUUACAAAAUUGACCCUUCUAGAGAUACAACAAUGCCUACAGUUUUUUGAGAAGAAUCUUACAUCACUGAUUAUUUUCUAUACUGCCUCUCAGGUGCAGAUUUUGUGCAGAACAAUUAAUGAUUGGGUCAUAUUGCACUGCUGUUUUGAUGGAUUAAUAGAUAAUCAUUAUCCCAGAUAUCCUUUGCUUUCAUUUUUUAAGGAACAUCCUGCGGUGUUUCCAAAAGUAACUGCACAAGCACCCUUACCAGGUGCCCCCAAUAUAUUUACAGAUGGAUCAAAAAUAGGCUGUGGAGCUUGUAUGAUCGAGCACAAUGAGCCGGUUUUGUGCCAAUAUCAGCCUGGCUCCUCACAGGUGGUUAAAUUACAAAUUAUGUUAAAAGUUUUCAAAUAAUGCUCCUUUCAAUUUCAAAUUUUGGCAGCUACAUCCAAUGAUUGGGCGAUUUUAGUUACCUCCUUUGCUGGACAGAUUGACAAUCAUUAUCCAAAGCAUCCAAUUUUGCAAUUUGCCCUGAGUCAGGCUGUAGUAUUUCCACGAGUGACAGCCAGAAAUUCACUCCCAGAUGGAAUCAUGGUAUAUACUGAUGGAUAAAAAACUGGUAUAGGUGCUUAUGUAGUUAAUUGCAAGGUAGUAUCUAAACAAUAUAAUGAAAUCUCAUCUCAAAUUGUGGAAUGUUUAGUAGUACUAGAGGUUCUUGAGACCUUCCCAGGACUGCUUAAUAUUGUGUCUGAUUCUUCUUAUGUAGUUAAUGCAGUUAACCUUCUUGAGACAGCUGGGGUAAUAAAGUCCUCCAGCAGAGUUGCUAAUAUUUUUCAACAAAUACAAUUUGUGUUAGUGAAUAGAAGAUUCCCUGUUUAUGUUACUCAUGUCAGAGCACACUCGGGCCUCCCUGGUCCUAUGUCGCUAGGAAAUGAAUUGGCGGAUAAAGCCACCAAGAUCGUGGCUAUUGCACUGUUUUCCUAGACAGAAGCUGCAAAAGAAUUUCAUAAGUGCUUUCAUGUGAUGGCUGAAACCUUACGUCACCGUUUUUCAUUGAUUAGAAAAGAAGCUAGAGAAAUAGUUACCCAAUGUCAAAAUUGUUGUCAAUUUUGCCUGUGCCUCACAUGGGAAUUAACCCACGGGGAAUUCGACCACUAAUACUUCAAUAUUUGCAUGUUUCUAUUGAUACAUACUCUGGCAUUAUGUAUGCUAUACCUCUAACAGGAGAAAAGGCCUCACAUGUAAUUCAACAUUGCCUCGAGGCAUAGAGUGCUUCGGGCAAACCCAGACUCCUCAAGACAGACAAUGGACCAGCAUAAACUUUUCAAAAAUUUCGACAGUUUUGCAGUCAAAUGGAUGUGAUUCAUUUAACUGGCCUCCCAUAUAAUCCCCAAGGGCAAGGUAUUGUGAAACGCGCCCACCACACUCUUAAAUCUUACUUAAUUAAACAAAAAGGGGGAAUAGCUGAACAUGCUACCCCACGAGAAAGAAUAUCUCUAGCUCUCUUUACACUUAAUUUCUUAAAUCUUAAAGAGUCCAAUACAACUGCCACCGACAGGCACGUAAAUUCAGUUCUAUCUCCUUGCAUGCACAUCAUGUGGAAGGAUGUGCUGGACAAUAACUGGUACGGACCGGAUCCUAUUUUAAUAGGAUCCAGGGGAGCUGUUUGUGUUUUUCCACAGGACCGAGCUGAUCCGAUCUGGGUUCUAGAGAGGCUGACUCGCCGAGUUGAAAGCCCAAGAGAGGAGGAUGCGAAUCCCAACAAUGAAAAUGUGGAAGAGAAUAACGAUGCUGUGGUGGCUGACUCACCUGAUACAUGCCAGUGAAAAUUAUUUUUGGUCUUUUUCUCGCACGUGGCCAAUACCAGUGCCUGUGCAUAAUGAAUCCAAUGUUUUUCCUCAAUUUUACUCCACCCGUUGCCAUUAUGGGGUACCUUGUAAAUCUAAAGAUCAGUCUGAAUUGAAGGUGCAAGUUUUUAACCAGACUCGAGUUCCUUUGGCAGGAACACUUUGUUUUUACUGUCUGCCGUGGGCUGGUAUUACUGUUAUAGUUGGUCUGUAAGCUCAGAACCCAAAGUAAUGAGACAAAGUGGUCAUUGCGCAGGCACUUGCGGCUCUGGAGAAUAGAACCUCCGCAGAAGUAUGGCUGCCUAUCCUGGGGCAAUAGAAAGCCGGUCCAAACAGCUCUUGCACGCCUGGAGUUUAGCUCAUUGCACAUGGCAGAGUGUCUGGACUAGCGCCUGGGAAGGUUGUUGAACGAGGUAUCGCAUGGAGGUUAAAAUUACCUCCAGGAGGCAUAUCGUCCAGCAUAGGGGUUGCCUGCCCAAGUCUCCCCUCUCCCAACAAAACGGCAGAGGACAGGUCGAGGAUACCCCGGAUGUGGCAAGGAGUCUAGGGGAUAUCCCCGUACAUGGUCUAACAUGAUUUAAUUACCAACAGGGAGGGACGAUCUCUGUCUCCACCUUCUAACCAGGUUACCUGUUAGCCCUCAUAGCACAAAAUGGUGCCUACUUCCUGUUUUUGUUGAGCCAAAUACAGGCCGAGUGCACAUGCAUGCCCACCACUGAGUCUCUGCCUAUGAGAUGAUGAGUCACAGCCAACCAGGGUAUGCCACGUCCAAGGCAGGAGAAUUUUUGUUCUGGCCUUCUGGCCUAGUACCUUGUUCAAACAAAAGAAAAGGGGGAAGUGUGGGGGGCCACACCAUUCGCCAUUACAAGAUGGCGCCGAGGAGUGUGGUAAACAGCUCAUUUUGGACCAUGUCCCAGCAUAAGUCUGCCUGGCAACAGCAAGCAGCCUAUCCCAGCCUGACUAGCUUAUCUAUAGUAGAAACAUCCUGCCCUGCCAAUAUAAGCCGCUCCCUUUCCUUCUCCCUCGCCUCUCAUCUUCAACUCUCCAUUAAUCCAUCGGUACUCCAAUAAAAGUGUGAUAAGAGAAGAA